AUUGAACGCUGGCGGCAUGCUUUACACAUGCAAGUCGAACGGUAACAGGCCUUCGGGUGCUGACGAGUGGCGAACGGGUGAGUAAUGCAUCGGAACGUGCCCAGAGGUGGGGGAUAACGCAGCGAAAGCUGUGCUAAUACCGCAUGUGAUCUGAGGAUGAAAGCGGGGGACCAGGCAGCAAUGUUUGGCCUCGCGCCUUUGGAGCGGCCGAUGUCAGAUUAGGUAGUUGGUGGGGUAAAGGCCUACCAAGCCGACGAUCUGUAGCUGGUCUGAGAGGACGACCAGCCACACUGGGACUGAGACACGGCCCAGACUCCUACGGGAGGCAGCAGUGGGGAACUUUGGACAAUGGGCGCAAGCCUGAUCCAGCAAUGCCGCGUGCGGGAAGAAGGCCUUCGGGUUGUAAACCGCUUUUGUACGGAACGAAAAGGCUCUGGCUAAUACCUGGGGCUGAUGACGGUACCGUAAGAAUAAGCACCGGCUAACUACGUG
rnacentral:rRNA from 1 species